ensembl:misc_RNA
GAAUUACCUGUCUUUGAGUACCUGCUCCAUGAUAAGUUUAUUGCUGAGGGCCAUUUCUGUUUCUGGAUAUUAUAAAGCAUGACCUCUAGGAAACCUCCUAUAGUUCAUAUCAG